AGGAGAGGACAGCUACAACGGCGACGAUGACCAGCACCACGUACAGCACGAUGAACGAAGUUGCGAUGAAGGCCGAUGCUGCACAAAAGAAAGCAGAGCCUGCCGCCUAUUACGUCGGGACUUCGAACGCCUGCACCUUGCCUCCCUGCCCCCGGUGAUAAGAAGAACCGGAACAAGUUGGCUGUCUUCUGGAUACCAGCGGGCUUUCAGAAGUCCGAAAAUCGAAGAGGCCCAGU
rnacentral:lncRNA from 1 species